rnacentral:rRNA from 1 species
CACCUGUUUAACAAAAACAUGUCCUGUUGAUUAUAAUUUUAGGUCGAUCUGCUCAAUGAAUUAUUUUAAAUAGCUGCAGUAUGUUGACUGUACAAAGGUAGCAUAGUAAAUUGUCUUUUAAUUGAAGAAUUGUAUGAAAGAAUUAAUGAAAUAAUAACUGUCUCUAAAUUAUUAAAUGAAUUUAAAUUUUUAGUUAAAAUUCUAAAAUUUAAUUAUGGGACGAUAAGACCCUAUAGAAUUUAAUUUAAUUUUUAAAUUUAUUUAUAAUUUUAAUAAAUAUAUUUAAGAUUAAAUUUGAUUGGGAGGAUUGGUAAAUUUAAUAAACUUUAUUUAAGAUUUAAUUUUGAUAUAAAGAUAUUUUUUUGAAUUAUAAAUUGUAAUUAAAAGAAUAAAUUACCUUAGGGAUAACAGCGUAAUAUCUUUUGAUAGAUCAUAUUGAUAAAGAUGUUUGCGACCUCGAUGUUGAAUUAAGAUGAAAAUUAAGCGCAGUAGUUUAAAUUUUUAAGUCUGUUCGAUCAUUAAAAUCUU